GCUGGGUCCAGGGAAAGGAUGUCCCCCUGUGCAGACCAGUUGCCUGUGGGGGUCCCAGCCUCCCCUGUCACUUGAGAGGAAAAGCAAAUGUGCACACCCAUGGGAGCAGUGGCCUGGGGAGACAAAAAAAGUCUCUCCCACCCACCCUGUCAGGAGUAAUGGCAGGGCCAGCAUGGAUGCGGAGGUAGUCAUUCAGGAGGGGCAGGUUGUGGUCCCAGAGGUGAAGGACAGUCUGCCCACGCCCCACCAUCCUCACUACCAGGCUAUCAUUUGUUGCUCCACGGCUCACUCCCACCAGGUCAAAUCUGCAGGAUGAAGGAAAAUAAGGUUACAAGUGAGAAUGAUACAUGUGUGAUUGUGUAGUGCUUUGAGCCAUCCCAUGUAGGAUUGCCACUUUGAUAUAUAGAUAGAUAAAAUGAGAUGGGGGAAAAGCACAAAGGAAGAUAAUGCAUGCCUUCUUUCUCUGAAUAUAAUGUCUUUCCCUCUUCCUUUGAUCUCAAUCAUCUUUUCCUACCUCCCUCUUUGUUUUUAUGUAAGAGGGCCUCUGAAUAAAAAUGGGCCCACUUGAAGUUGCUAAUCAUUGAAGAAGAUAUUAUAAUAGCAAGGCCUAAGUUACAUUGAGAGUAUCUUGAAACCUCUGUGCUAUUUACCCUAAUCCCACUCUUCCAUCUCUCACCUGGAGGGCCUGAAGGCUGGAUGAGCAUUGGUGGCGUGGAAGAUGCGUCCCCUGUUAUCGUGGUAGGAAAGAUGGAGGUUGAAACUUGCCCCAACUGGCAACCAAGGGAGUGGGGUACUGGUCACAGCACCUACCAAGCCACCCACCUCCCCUUGCAAGUAGCUCACCUUUUUCACCUGCAAUGGAAAGGAUGAAAGAUGCUUACUUGAAGGAAAAUGGUGGAUAGAAGUAAGAGGCUGGGAAAGGAAAAAUACAAUAAGGAAAACAAAUAUUUAUCUGAAGAAAUAAGGAAGGGUGACAUACAAACACGGACAAACUCUGGGUGACACCAUAGGUCUCAGUGACAGUGACAACAACAGUGGCCUGGCCAGUCUGCUCCCCUGCCUUCACCAAGCCAUCUGGGCACACCUCCACCACUUGGCUUUCCUUGCCACCCUCACUGCAAG